GAUGAAGAAGGUAGCGAAAUGCGAUAAGUAAUGUGAAUUGCAGAAUUCAGUGAAUCAUCGAAUCUUUGAACGCACAUUGCGCCCGCCAGUAUUCUGGCGGGCAUGCCUGUUCGAGCGUCAUUUCAACCAUCAAGCCCCAGGCUUGUGUUGGGGACCUGCGGCUGCCGCAGGCCCUGAAAACCAGUGGCGGGCUCGCUGUCACACCGGGCGUAGUAGAUUUUAUCUCGCUCAGGGCGUGCUGCGGGUUCCGGCCGUUAAAAAGCCUUUUUUACCCAAGGUUGACCUCGGAUCAGGUAGGAAUACCCGCUGAACUUAAGCAUAUCAAUAAGCGGAGGA
rnacentral:misc_RNA from 1 species